rnacentral:rRNA from 1 species
UACGUAGGGUGCGAGCGUUAAUCGGAAUUACUGGGCGUAAAGCGUGCGCAGGCGGUGAUGUAAGACCGAUGUGAAAUCCCCGGGCUUAACCUGGGAACUGCAUUGGUGACUGCAUUGCUGGAGUAGUGGCAGAGGGGGGUGGAAUUCCGCGUGUAGCAGUGAAAUGCGUAGAGAUGUGGAGGAACACCGAUGGCGAAGGC